ACAACAUUCGGACCGUCUACCGAGCAAUAUCACCCGGUCAAUGGAAGACCUUCCCUCUGUCGU
rnacentral:pre_miRNA from 1 species